rnacentral:rRNA from 1 species
AGCAGCCGCGGUAAUUCCAGCUCCAAUAGCGUAUAUUAAAGUUGUUGCAGUUAAAAAGCUCGUAGUUGAAUUUCGGGAUCAGUUCGCUGGUCGUGCCUCUGGUAUGUACUGGUGUUACUGGUUCCUCCCUUCUGACGAACUGUCAUGUCAUUUAUUUGGUGUGGUAGGGAAUCAGGACUGUUACUUUGAAAAAAUUAGAGUGUUUAAAGCAGGCUCGCGCUUGAAUACAUUAGCAUGGAAUAAUGAAAUAGGACGUUCGAUCCUAUUUUGUUGGUUUCUAGGAUUGACGUAAUGAUUAAUAGGGAUAGUUGGGGGCAUUAGUAUUCAAUUGUCAGAGGUGAAAUUCUUGGAUUUAUUGAAGACUAACUACUGCGAAAGCAUUUGCCAAGGAUGUUUUCAUUAAUCAAGAACGAAAGUUAGGGGAUCGAAGACGAUCAGAUACCGUCGUAGUCUUAACCAUAAACUAUGCCGACUAGGGAUCGGAUGAUGUUAAUUUUUUAAUGA